GUCUUUCUCGCAUUUUUUUAGUUUAUUUCGAAUGCUGUAAACACUCUUUUGCUUUGCUUAUAUAAAGGAAAGGAUUUGUUGUUUAUAGAAAUGCAGAUCAAGAUUUUGAGAAAAGAAAAUACAAAGAUCUUCGUAUUCAGCGGUCAAUACAUCGGCCUAUUGAUCUUUAGAAAGAUUGGUCGUCCAUUGUAUGGCCCAUGGACCGUCGAAGUACAUCUGGUUUGACGGUUCAAGUCACUCUAAGCCAUGGUACCUUUAUGCAAUCAUUGUCAUCUCAUUCUUUUAUUUGUUAUAGAUAUGGGGCUAUUAAUACAUGAUUCUGAUCAAGUUAAUACAUAUAUACGAACUAUAAAUGCAGUUAAAUGUAAUCUCACGCUAAGCCAUAUGGAGAAGGAUAAGAUCAGGAGAUCUCUAGCAUGGAUGGGAUUUUCGUUAUAAAGAAGGAAUAUACAUAUUUUAAGCUUAUAUUCGGAUUAUAAUAUAAUUAAGUCAGAUUGAAAUUUGAAUCAGUGAAUUGUUUUCAGUCUUGUAUCAAUAUAUAUAUGGAAAAAAGUUCUCUAGCUACACAAACUAUUGGGUAAUGUAUCUGAAACCUACUGAAUUAUUAAAAUGUGUUCCAAAC
rnacentral:lncRNA from 1 species